rnacentral:rRNA from 1 species
UACGUAGGGUGCAAGCGUUGUCCGGAAUUAUUGGGCGUAAAGAGCUCGUAGGCGGUUUGUCGCGUCUGCUGUGAAAACUCGGGGCUUAACCCUGGGCCUGCAGUGGGUACGGGCAGACUAGAGUGCGGUAGGGGAGACUGGAAUUCCUGGUGUAGCGGUGAAAUGCGCAGAUAUCAGGAGGAACACCGGUGGCGAAGGCGGGUCUCUGGGCCGUAACUGACACUCAGGGACGAAAGCUAGGGGAGCGAAUGGG